GAGUUUGAUCUUGGCUCAGGAUGAACGCUAGCUACAGGCCUAACACAUGCAAGUCGAGGGGAAACGGGAAAGCAGCUUGCUGCUUUCUGUCGUCGACCGGCGCACGGGUGAGUAACGCGUAUCCAACCUUUCCCAUAACUAAGGGAUACCCCGUAGAAAUGCGGCCUAAUACCUUAUGUACUCCCAUGACGGCAUCAGAAUGGGAACAAAGAAUUUCGGUUAUGGAUGGGGAUGCGUCUGAUUAGCUUGCUGGCGGGGUAACGGCCCACCAGGGCAUCGAUCAGUAGGGGUUCUGAGAGGAAGGUCCCCCACAUUGGAACUGAGACACGGUCCAAACUCCUACGGGAGGCAGCAGUGAGGAAUAUUGGUCAAUGGGCGUAAGCCUGAACCAGCCAAGUAGCGUGCAGGAUGACGGCCCUACGGGUUGUAAACUGCUUCUACAGGGGAAUAAAGUGAUUCACGUGUGUUUCAUUGCAUGUACCCUGCGAAUAAGGCCGGCUAAUUCCGUGCCAGCAGCCGCGC
rnacentral:rRNA from 1 species